GUUGGGGGCUUCCACCCUCAGUGCUGAAGUUAACACAUUAAGCACUCCGCCUGGGGAGUACGACCGCAAGGUUGAAACUCAAAGGAAUUGACGGGGGCCCGCACAAGCAGUGGAGCAUGUGGUUUAAUUCGAAGCAACGCGAAGAACCUUACCAGGUCUUGACAUCCUCUGCCACUCCUAGAGAUAGGACGUUCCCCUUCGGGGGACAGAGUGACAGGUGGUGCAUGGUUGUCGUCAGCUCGUGUCGUGAGAUGUUGGGUUAAGUCCCGCAACGAGCGCAACCCUUGAUCUUAGUUGCCAGCAUUAGGUUGGGCACUCUAAGGUGACUGCCGGUGACAAACCGGAGGAAGGUGGGGACGACGUCAAAUCAUCAUGCCCCUUAUGACCUGGGCUACACACGUGCUACAAUGGACGGUACAAAGGGCAGCGACACCGCGAGGUGAAGCGAAUCCCAUAAAGCCGUUCUCAGUUCGGAUUGUAGGCUGCAACUCGCCUACAUGAAGCCGGAAUUGCUAGUAAUCGCGGAUCAGCAUGCCGCGGUGAAUACGUUCCCGGGCCUUGUACACACCGCCCGUCACACCACGAGAGUUUGUAACACCCGAAGUCGGUGAGGUAACCUUUUGGAGCCAGCCGCCGAAGGUGGGACAAAUGAUUGGNGUGAAGUCGUAACCAAGGUAA
rnacentral:rRNA from 1 species